CGGUUGAUUCCUGCCGGAAGGACAUUGCUAUUGGGAUUCGAUUUAGCCAUGCUAGUCGGACGAGUUUAGACUCGUGGCGCAUAGCUCAGUAACACGUGGCCAAGCUACCCUUCAGUCGGCAAUACCCUCGGGAAACUGAGGUUAACGGCCGAUGUGGGACGCCUGCUGGAAUGCGGCGUUCUCUAAAGGCGACGCUGAAGGAUGCGGCUGCGGCCGAUUAGGUUGACGGUGGGGUAACGGCCCACCGUGCCAGUAAUCGGUACGGGUGAUGAGAGUCAGAGCCCGGAGACGGAAUCUGAGACAAGAUUCCGGGCCCUACGGGGCGCAGCAGGCGCGAAACCUUUACACUGCACGGAAGUGCGAUAGGGGAAUCCCAAGUGCGAGGGCAUAUUCGCCCUCGCUUUUGUUGACCGUAAGGUGGUCAACGAAUAAGAGCUGGGCAAGACCGGUGCCAGCCGCCGCGG
rnacentral:rRNA from 1 species